UUGCAAAUGACAAUCGUGCUCCAGUAGCGAUGGCUGCGUAAGCAGUUUCAGCUUCUGAAACUUAACUCCUUAGGUUUAGCGACUUAAGGCGGGGUUCGCAGGUACCUGGCAACAGAAACCUGCACU
rnacentral:tmRNA from 1 species